rnacentral:rRNA from 1 species
UACGUAGGGCGCAAGCGUUAUCCGGAAUUAUUGGGCGUAAAGAGCUCGUAGGCGGUUUGUCGCGUCUGCCGUGAAAGUCCGGGGCUCAACUCCGGAUCUGCGGUGGGUACGGGCAGACUAGAGUGAUGUAGGGGAGACUGGAAUUCCUGGUGUAGUGGUGGAAUGCGUAGAUAUCGGGGGGAAUACCAGUGGCGAAAGCGGCACCCUAGCGUUAGCCUGACGCUCAUGUGCGAAAGCGUGGGGAGCGAACGGG